rnacentral:lncRNA from 1 species
UAUUAAAGUGUCUAUUCAGCUUUUUUACGGUUGUACCUAGAUGUUGAUGUUGUGGUACAAUACUCAAUAAAAUUAAUUACUUUUUUUUUUACUUUUCAACUCUUUUUCUAUUAGUAACAAAUGUUUAUCAUUCAUCUACCUUUUCAUCUUCUUUCUUUUUGGAAACAGUGUACGUGUAUAUCUCUUCCUCCUGCUUAUCAAAAUAGUGUUAAUGCGCAGAAGAAAAAGUAUUAAAAAAAACAAUCCAAC